UUAUAUUAGGUUGGUGCAAAAGUAAUUGCAGUUUUUGCCAGUAAAAGUAAUUGCAAAAGCCACCAUUACUUUUGUACCAACCUAAUA
ensembl:miRNA